GACGAACGCUGGCGGCGUGCUUAACACAUGCAAGUCGAACGGAGUGGCGAACGGGUGAGUAACACGUGGGUGAUCUGCCUUGCACUUCGGGAUAAGCUUGGGGAACUGGGUCUAAUACCGGAUAGUGCAAGAUGAGUUCGCGGCCUAUCAGAUUGUUGGUGGGGUAAUGGCCUACCCAGUCGUCGACGGGUAGCCGGCCUGAGAGGGUGUACGGCCAAAUUGGGACUGAGAGACGGCCCAGAGUCCAACGGGAGGCAGCAGGGGGGAAGAUUGCACAAUGGGCGGAAGCCUGAUGCAGGGACGCCGCGUGGGUGAUGAAGGCCUUCGGGUUGGAAACUCCUUUCGACAGGGACGCGGUACCUGUAGAAGAAGCACCGGCUAACUACGUGCCAGCAGCCGCGGUAAUAC
rnacentral:rRNA from 1 species